rnacentral:rRNA from 7 species
GAUCGAGCUGGCGGUCCGCGCGAGGGCUACCGACCUGUCUCAGCCCCUGCCUCUCGGCGCCCCCUCGAUGCUCUUAACUGAGUGUCCGCAGGGUCCGAAGCGUUUACUUUGAAAAAAUUUGAUGAGUUCAAAGCAGG